GCAGAGGCGCUUCUUCCUGCGGACGGCAGUGCUGGCCAUGCACAACCCCCGGCUGCGUGUCAGCCAGGCUGGGCUGCUCCUCACUUACUCCCUGCUGGGGCAAGCCCAGCAGCUGCUGGGGGACAAGCAGGAGGAGGUCACCUAUAAGGUGACGCAACAACUGCACAUCAUCCACAACUUGCACCAAGUGCCUGAGGCGGUGCAGGAGCUCUGCCUUCGAGGCCACCAGCUACUCCCACUCCCUGUAAACGGGGAGUGUAGUGAGACUGAGUGGUCUCCCUCCGACUGGGAGAGCGAGAGACCCCCUACACGCCUCUUGGAGGCUGGGGCCUAUAUUGCCCCGCCCCCCUCGCCCUAAGAACUGGAGCGUGGCCGGAAGUAUAAAAGGCCUGCCGUGCUGCACAGUUGGGGGAGAGCCUGCAAGAGAGGAGGACGCUCGGCCUGUUCUCCAGAGGCCCAGAGAGGAUCCCGCUCCUGGCUGUUCCCGAUCCCCAGGCGUGGACGAGGACUGGCCCGGAGUCCCCGCUGCGGUUUACCCCAAGGAGCCGGAAGAGGCCUGGAGGCCGCAGGUACCAAACCCUGGGGAGGCAGGAAGUAGCCCAGGGGCAGCCCUGGAGCAGCCGGCUGCAGAGCCCAGCACAGCUCAGUCGGCAUGUUGCGGCCGGAUCCCCGCCGACGCAGGGGCAGCCAAGGGCCCGCUUCCCCCUGCCACCCCAUCCCAGGUGGCUGACCCCCUACGUGGUGCAAGGAGGCUCUAGCCCAGGACAGGAGCUCCCUUAUCACUGACCUGGAGGGUGUUUGUUGGCUGGCCACCGGGGCCCCACCCAGGCUAGAGCCAGCCCUGUCAAGACUGUUUGCUCGCUGGCUGCUUGGUUCCACCCAGGCCGGAGCCACUCUGGCAGACUGUGCUGGGGGCUGACCACUUGAGCGACCCCAGCCCGGCAGGGCCGGCUCUACCAUUUUUACCACCACAAGGAAAAACAAAAAGGCGGCUCGGACUGCUGCUGCCCAAACUGCUGAAGCUGCCCGGACUCUGCUGCCCCAGGAAUGGCCGGAUUGCCGCCCCUUAGCAUGUGCCGCCCCAGGCACGUGCUGGCUCCGCUGGUGCCUGGAGCCGGCCCUGCAGCCCAGGCCGCAGCCUGGUAACGACAGUUGAUGACUGUGGUGGGGUGACUGCCCCAUGCCCAUGCAAGAGGGCGCUUGAGUAGGCCAGAGCGGCUGUGAAGGCCGGCAGCCAAUCAGAGAAGGGCCUACUGAAAGCUAAUCAGGGCCGAGAUUAGAGCCAGCCAAUCAGGGCUAGGAUAGGCCCUAUAUAAAGGCUGCCCAGGAGCACAGUAGGCAGUCUGUCCCAGAACUUCAUGGAGGAAGGUGUGUCUCCAGAGCAGGAGACCAGCACCUCAGACUGAGCAGUACUGCACCUGGGCAUGUGGUGGCCGAGACAAAUUGCAACCAGCUCUUGAGACAAGGGGCUAGACUUUGGGGUUGUGGUUGGCCACUGAGGCAGGUGCAAGGACUGUUGCUAACCGCCCCCGCCGCCGCCCUUCACCCUCAAAAGGGGAUGAGGAUGAAGGACGCUGUCAAGCAGGGAGCAACACGGGUCCAGCCACCAACGGAGGACAAGAGAUGGACAGGACACUGCCAGCAGAGGGCGCUCCCCAUGGACUUGGACAGAGCAGUGCUGGGCAGACUCAUGGGGAGCAUAGUAGGGCUCCGGCCCAAGACCUGCCAGACUCCGGGCCCUGAUAGAAAGGGCCUAGAGAGUGCGAGGGGCCGGAGGGGAAGUGGCCCAGGGACAGUUGGACAAAGGGAGAGCAGGGGGGCUGCCACUAGAUGGUCCCUGGGUUGGGACCCAGAGUACUGGGCAGGCGUGGGUCCCCCCCUUCCCUCUUGUACUGCACCUGGCCAUGUGGUGGCUGAGACAACUUCCAACGAGCCCUUGAGACAAUGGGUUAGACUUUGGGGGCUGUGGUUGGCCACUGAGGCAGGUGCAAGGACUGUUGGUAAUCCCUCCGGAAGGGGGUGAGCAUGGACUAAGGGGCACUGCCAGAGAGCAGUGGCCUGUAGAAGGACACCGUCAAGUGGGGAGCAAUGCGGGUCCAGACGCCAAGGGAGGACAAGAGACGGACAGGACACCGCCAGCAGAGCGCGCUUCCCAUAGACUGAGCUAAUUACCAGAGCGCCCAGUGGGAGGCGCCAUGGUGAUGAGCUCCAACCCCGUCACAUGUGGUGGAGAAUGCAGUCACGGGCGGACCGCCCUGAUACUAGGGGCAAGAGCGAGGACUAAACAGAUUGUGUCACAUUGAGAGACUGAGACAAAAUGGUGGAGAAAAGAGACUUCUAUUGGAGGGCCUGGGUGGCUCAGCUCGCCGAGCAGCAGAGGGAGUUGUUCUGGCUGCUGCGGGGGUCGGCACCCAGGCCAAACGAGAUCCGGCCCCAUGGGCGAGAGGCCAGGGCUGGGAACUCUGAACUGCUUCGCCUGUAGGUGACGGGGACGCUACAGGAGGGAGUGUCCCUACUGGGAGGGGGCAGAGAGGCCCCACCCAGAAAAGGCACCCUCUGCUUGUUGGGUCUGAGGGGAGCCAGGGCACCUGAAGAGAGAGUGCCCCUACAGGACUGCCAAGGCCCGGGCCAGCCCAGAAGGAAGGGCCAGGGCCCAAACAAGCAGGAGUAGGGACGUGGCAGGUGGAAGACCCAGAAAGUGCUUCCACUGCCACAAAGAGGGACAUUUAAAGAGGCACUGCCCCCUGAGGCAGAAAGGGGGAGUGUCUGAGACAAGGGCUCGGUCUGAGACCCCACCCAGGGAAGGGGUGGUGAAGACCGAGGCCCCUAGAGAGAAAGGGGCUGGGUAGAGAGGCCCCACCGAAAUGAGGGAACCCACAUAGGAGCCAGGAGGGCCAAUGUGGGAACCCAAACAGAAGUAGGAACCGCGUAGGACCAGGGCGGUCCACAAUGGGAACCCAGACCCUAGAGGUGCGGAGCAGGUUGCUCCAGACUGUGGAGGGUCUGCGAGAGGAAAGGGAUGCCCUGCGGGCCCAGCUGUGAGGGAAGCUGGGGCGAUAGGGACGCCCUUCCUUCCCCCCGUGAGCAUUCUUAAGGGGGGGGGUGGUGGGGUGGCUGCCCCACCCCCAUGUGAGAGGGGGCUAGAGUAGCCCAGAACGGCUGCAUAGGCCGGCAGCCAAUCAAGGAAGGGCCUACUGAGAGCCAAUCAGGGCCGAGAUUAGAGCCAGCCAAUCAGGGUUAGGCUAGGUACUAUAUAAUGGCUGCCCAGGAGCACAGCAGUCAGUCUGUCCCAGAACUUCAUGGAGGAAGGUGUGUCUCCAGAGCAGGAGACCAGCACCUCAGACUGAGCAGUACUGCACCUGGGCAUGUGGUGGCCGAGACAAAUUGCAACCAGCUCUUGAGACAAGGGGCUAGACUUUGGGGUUGUGGUUGGCCACUGAGGCAGGUGCAAGGACUGUUGCUAACCGCCCCCGCCGCCGCCCUUCACCCUCAAAAGGGGAUGAGGAUGAAGGACGCUGUCAAGCAGGGAGCAACACGGGUCCAGCCACCAACGGAGGACAAGAGAUGGACAGGACACUGCCAGCAGAGGGCGCUCCCCAUGGACUGAGCUAAUUCCCGGAGCGACCAGCGGGAGGUGCUGUGGUGGCCCUGGGAUCUGGCACAGCUUCCCAGAUGGGCGCAUCCUGUACCGGAGCCACGUCAGGGGGCAGUGGGGACAGGUCACCUGGUCCUAGCAAAGCAAGCAAUGCUGGCUCUCAAAGAGGCUUAGAUGGAAGACCCCAUUCCCUCAUGGAGGAAGGGGCUCCCCAGAGACUUCCUUGAACCUGGACUCCUGAGAGCAUUUCUGGCAGGAGACUCCAGCCCCUCGGGCACGAAGAGAGCAUCGGGUAGUCUCGGUCGCCAGUUCCACUUCCCACAGCAGGGAAAACGAACCCAUCAGCUCCCAGAAUCCCAACUCUUUGACUUCCUUCCACUCAGCAGUGAGGUUUCUCCAGCCCCCUCACCACACCUGUCAGCCUCUGAAUGUCAGAGUCACCAGAACGAGCAAACUCCAGUUCCAGGCAGUGGGGCCUGUGUGUAUUCAGCCCCUCUGGAAACCAGGUCUGAAAUGAGGAGCAAGGACCCCAGGCCAAUAACAGUAGGAGUGGGCAGAGCAGGCCUGUAAGAGGGUGCUUUCCCCUGGGCUGCACAGCUUGGGACCUAGCCAAGUUGAGGAUAGAACGAGCCCUAACUGAGAGGCAAAAGAGAGGCCAGGCCCUCCCCCUCGAGCGUCGCUUAUUAUAAAUUUUCAAAACUGAAUACAGUGGAGUCACAUCUUACGCAGGGGUUAGGUUAUAAGGUCAGGGGGUGUCAGGGUUGAAUAGUUCUCCCAUGGUCUCUCAGGAAGGGGACAUACAAGGCCAUAGAAAAGGCUACCAAGGCCAGCAAGGGCAAGGCCGAGCCAAAGUCAGGCUGAGGAAAAGCCCCGAAGGGACGGAGGAGCUUGUUUCGGUUAAAGACAUUUUUGGACUUUUCGUUUGGGGUGAUCGCGACCCAGGAAGGAGUGGAAUAAAAGACGGUCACCUGGCUGAAGGGCUGAGUUCCCAGGCAAAAAGCUGCCAGAGUACCCUAGCGACUCUCAGCGGGGGCGCUAGCCCAGCAAGAAAGCUGUGAGACCAGCCUUGCCAGGAAGGGGCACCUCUCGGGCUCGCCAUCCGUCUUGGAGCUGAACCCCAGAUGGGAGCUGAUAGAUUGUCCUUGGUGAGCCAUGUUCUUGUGUGGGAUGGAGCUGAGGGCCAGAGAGGGCCAGGAGCAGAUGCAUCACGCCUGGCCAGGACCGGGAUAAACAGCCUGUAACACUAGACAGGCAGCCCGUGAGUCCAGUUUGCAGAAUGUGGAAGAGCCCUUUGGUGAUGUUUUGGAGGAUUCCCCACGUAGGUGGCAGCAGCUGCAGUGCCUGGGGUCCCCAUGGGCCAAGCCUCCACUCCUGACACUCCAGGCUAAUCUCCCCUGCUCUCAGCGGGGCUUGGCUUUAGCUGCUGGGCCUGCGUGCCUAGACAGAGGACUCAGGUAUUUCCAUCAGGCUGCUCAAUGGCAAAUGCAGCCACCCAAAGAGGUGAAGAAGAAUGGAAGCGAAAGCACAAAGCUGGACCAUCCGCUGAGCUGUUGCAAUCAAGUGAGCAGAGCCGGGGAGAGAAGAGGGAGAACUCGAAGGUGGCUGGCGGCAGUAGGGAGGAGAAGCAGUUUGGGAGCCAAGAGAGUAGAAAUAAAUAGCUCAUGACAAAUACUGUGGCUUUGUCUUGUGUGGUGAAGGGUUGGAAAGGGGUCUCUUUACUGUCACGCUAAACUUUACAAUAGCUGGAUUCAGAGUAGCAGCCGUGUUAGUCUGUAUCCACAAAAAGAACAGGAAUCCUUGUGGCACCUUAGAGACUAACACAUUUAUUUGAGCAUAAGUGCAUUAGGGUUCACAUACGUGAGCACGAGGAGGAACCUUUUGAGUUUUCUCCUUUCCUUACACUGAUUUUACUAGAAAACAGACA